rnacentral:rRNA from 1 species
GGAGGAUCAUUAUCGUGGGGCUUCGGCCCUGUCGAGAUAGAACCCUUGCCUUUUUGAGUACCUUUCGUUUCCUCGGCAGGCUCGCCUGCCAAUGGGGACCACAAAAAACACUUUGCAGUACCUGUAACAGUCUGAACAAACAAAACAAAAAUUAAAACUUUCAACAACGGAUCUCUUGGUUCUGGCAUCGAUGAAGAACGCAGCGAAAUGCGAUAAGUAGUGUGAAUUGCAGAAUUCAGUGAAUCAUCGAAUCUUUGAACGCACAUUGCGCCCUUUGGUAUUCCUUAGGGCAUGCCUGUUCGAGCGUCAUUUAAACCUUCAAGCUAAGCUUGGUGUUGGGUGACUGUCCGCUUCACUGCGGACUCGCCUCAAAAUUAUUGGCGGCCGGUACAUUGGCUUCGAGCGCAGCAGAAACGCGAACUCGGGCCCGUCGUAUUGGCUCCCAGAAGCUAUCUUCACAAUUUUGACCUCGGAUCAGGUAGGGAUACCCGCUGAACUUAAGCAUAUCAAUAAGCGGAGGA